GAGUGGCGGACGGGUGAGUAAUGCUUGGGAACUUGCCUUUGCGAGGGGGAUAACAGUUGGAAACGACUGCUAAUACCGCAUAAUGUCUUCGGACCAAACGGGGCUUCGGCUCCGGCGCAAAGAGAGGCCCAAGUGAGAUUAGCUAGUUGGUAAGGUAACGGCUUACCAAGGCGACGAUCUCUAGCUGUUCUGAGAGGAAGAUCAGCCACACUGGGACUGAGACACGGCCCAGACUCCUACGGGAGGCAGCAGUGGGGAAUAUUGCACAAUGGGGGAAACCCUGAUGCAGCCAUGCCGCGUGUGUGAAGAAGGCCUUCGGGUUGUAAAGCACUUUCAGUUGUGAGGAAAAGUUAGUAGUUAAUACCUGCUAGCCGUGACGUUAACAACAGAAGAAGCACCGGCUAACUCCGUGCCAGCAGCCGCGGUAAUACGGAGGGUGCGAGCGUUAAUCGGAAUUACUGGGCGUAAAGCGCACGCAGGCGGUUUGUUAAGCUAGAUGUGAAAGCCCCGGGCUCAACCUGGGAUGGUCAUUUAGAACUGGCAGACUAGAGUCUUGGAGAGGGGAGUGGAAUUCCAGGUGUAGCGGUGAAAUGCGUAGAUAUCUGGAGGAACAUCAGUGGCGAAGGCGACUCCCUGGCCAAAGACUGACGCUCAUGUGCGAAAGUGUGGGUAGCGAACAGGAUUAGAUACCCUGGUAGUCCACACCGUAAACGCUGUCUACUAGCUGUGUGUGCCUUUAAGACGUGCGUAGCGAAGCUAACGCGCUAAGUAGACCGCCUGGGGGAGUACGGCCGCAAGGUUAAAACUCAAAUGAAUUGACGGGGGGCC
rnacentral:rRNA from 1 species